GGUUGGUCCUGACUGCAGUGGUAUUUACAACUAAUUGAUCACAACCAGUUACAGAUUCCUUUGUUCCUUCUCCACUCUCACUGCUUCACUUGACCAGUGCC
rnacentral:Y_RNA from 1 species